GGCGAGGGGGCAACGAGCAACCCCUGAGCUUCUGAUGAGAGCCGACCUCGAGGCUGACGGGGAGGCCAGAAGGUCCCGAGGGGGCUGCAAGCGACAGGCCUGGCGUCCAGGCUGCACGGUGGGAAGACGGAGGUGUGGAGAAGCUGCUGGAAACAGAGGCGGAACUGCUGAGCGCCCUGGGAGGUCCGGGGGUGCGGCUAAGACAGCGGCGGGAGGGCAGGCGGCGGGGGUCACACGGAGAAGCCUGGCGCAGACUGGCCCAGAGGAAGCCCUGGCUUGAGUGAAAGAGGCUGGGCCCGGCAUGGUCAAGGCGAGGGAGGAAAUGACCUGGAAGUCACCAGGACUGAGCCAGGACCUACAGGCAGCAAGGACGGCAGAGGGAGCAGGGCUGUAAACUGAAAUGCCCAGCACCUGAAGGCACUGAUGGAGGGGGACACGGAUUACCUUCCUGAAGAAGACUGUCUCACAUUCCUUUUGCCAAAAAAAAAAAAAAAAAAGUCAUUUAGGAAAAACAAACAUCAUUAGCAGAGGUGGCUUCACCGUGGUUUAGAUUCCUCAUUCCCAGGCCCUGGGAGAAGGCCUGGGACAAAGGGCAUACUCUUUUGCUAAUUUCAACUCUUGUUUUAGAUACAGGGUGUACAUGUGCAGAUUUGUUAUGUGAGAAUACUGCGUGAUCUGAGGUUUGGAGUACGGAUCCCAUCACGCAGGUGCAGUAGGCUCAUGACUGUAAU
rnacentral:lncRNA from 1 species